GCCUUCGUAGUGUAGUGGUCAGCACGCUUGACGCGUAACCGAGAGGUCCGUGGUUCAAUUCCCGGCGAAGGCG
rnacentral:tRNA from 1 species